rnacentral:rRNA from 1 species
UACAGAGGGGGCAAGCGUUAUUCGGAAUUAUUGGGCGUAAAGGGCGCGUAGGCGGCUUUUCAAGUGACGGGUGAAAUCCCUCGGCUUAACCGAGGAACUGCCUGUCAGACUGGAAGGCUUGAGACCGGGAGAGGUGAGUGGAAUUCCCAGUGUAGCGGUGAAAUGCGUAGAUAUUGGGAGGAACACCAGUGGCGAAGGCGAGUCUCUGGACAUUUCCUGACGCUGAGGCACGAAAGCCAGGGGAGCAAACGGG